GCCGGGCGCGGUGGUGCAUGCCUGUAAUCCCACUGGCUUGGGAGGCUGAGGCAGGAGGAUUGCAUAUUCAAAGCCAGCCUCAG
rnacentral:sRNA from 1 species